AUGAUAAAAACGGAAAGCUCCCUCUUUCCGUCUCCGGACGCAGCAGCGAGAGGAGCCGCCGCCACGUCCGCGCACCUGCAGUGGAUGGUCGUCAUGAAGCGGAGGUCCGGCCAGCGAAAGCCAGCCACUUCCUACGUGCGGACCACCAUCAACAAGAACGCCAGGGCCACGUUCAGCAGCAUCAGGCACAUGAUCCGCCAGAAUAAGUACCGCCCCGACCUGCGCAUGGCUGCCAUCCGCAGGGCCAGCGCCAUCCUGCGCAGCCAGAAGCCCGUGAUGGUGAAGAGAAAGCGGACCCGCUCCACCAAGAGCUCCUGAGCCCGCUCCCCAGAAGCAACAAAGGGUCCGCUGCCUGCCUCA